GCCCGGGUGGUCUAGUUGGUAUGAUUCUCGCUUCGGGUCUCCUUUCCCGAGCUUCAACAAUGAAGUUCAAGCAUGCGAGAGGUCCCGCGUUCGAAUCGCGGCUCGGGCC